UGCUCACAGGGCUUCCCUGGUGGCGCAGUGGUUGAGAAUCUGCCUGCCAAUGCAGGGGACAUGGGUUCAAGCCCUGGUCUGGGAAGAUCCCACAUGCCGCGGAGCAACUAGGCCCGUGAGCCACAACUACUGAGCCUGCGCGUCUGGAGCCUGUGCUCCGCAACAAGAGAGGCUGCGAUAGUGAGAGGCCCGCGCACCACGAUGAAGAUGGCCCCCGCUUGCCACAACUAGAGAAAGCCCUCACACAGAAACGAAGAUCCAACACAGCCAAAAAUAAAUUAAAAAAAAAAAAAAAAA